CGUGAGAAUCUGCCUUAAGGAUUGGGACAACAGUGGGAAACCGCUGCUAAUACCAAAUAUGCCUUUUAGUGAAACGGGUAAAACCGCCUUAAGAUGAGCUCGCGUCUGAUUAGCUAGUUGGUGUGGUAAGAGCGCACCAAGGCAACGAUCAGUAGCUGGUCUGAGAGGACGACCAGCCACACUGGGACUGAGACACGGCCCAGACUCCUACGGGAGGCAGCAGUGAGGAAUUUUCCGCAAUGGGCGAAAGCCUGACGGAGCAAUACCGCGUGAGGGAGGAAGGUUCUUGGAUUGUAAACCUCUUUUCUCAGAGAAGAAUAAUGACGGUAUCUGAGGAAUAAGCAUCGGCUAACUCCGUGCCAGCAGCCGCGGUAAUACGGAGGAUGCAAGCGUUAUCCGGAAUGAUUGGGCGUAAAGGGUCUGUAGGUGGUUGUUCAAGUCUGCUGUUAAAGCGUCUGGCUUAACCAGAUAAAGGCGGUGGAAACUGAACGACUAGAGUGCGGUAGGGGUAGAGGGAAUUCCCAGUGUAGCGGUGAAAUGCGUAGAUCUUGGGAAGAACACCUGUGGCGAAAGCGCUCUACUGGACCGCGACUGACACUGAUGGACGAAAGCUAGGGGAGCGAAUGGGAUUAGAUACCCCAGUAGUCCUAGCCGUAAACGAUGGAUACUAGGCG
rnacentral:rRNA from 1 species